rnacentral:lncRNA from 1 species
AGGACACUGCAAGGCUGGAAUCACCUUAAGUUCUCUGUGGAAUUUGCUAAAACUGAGACAUAGACACAAGCGAUUGUGAUGUCAGCUAACGCAGAUUUUAACUCACGGAUUUUAUGUGGCCCUGUUCAAAUUUGUGAUGUUCUUCAGCAGAAUCCCCAACUCAAAGUUUUCUAUUCUAAGACCGAAGGGAAACUUUUGGAGCAGCUCGUCUGCUACGCCUCCAGCCUCCUCACCAAAAUGACAAGCAGACAAAUGUUCAUCCGACUCAAUGAGGGUGCAGAAACUUUCAGCGUAAACUUUGAGUUAGUGUUUGAAUCACUGAAUAUUCAACGUAGUUUCAAUCUCAAUCGAAGAUGCACUGAAACCAUCGGAGACUUCACGCACCGUAUCUCGAGCAAUGUUGAAAAAAGCAUUACCUACAAGGUAGCAAAGAAGUGAAAAAGGGGCCGAGAUAGAGAUGCCGGACGUCAGUGUCAAGGUGCUGAAUGGAGGGACUGAAGUCCCACCAGAGCUGACUUGUAACAAUGUGUUUUUUCAAAAGGACAGCCCAAAUUUGAGCACUAGGAUAUUAGGUACUGAUUACAAAUUAUUAUCAACCCGCCAUGGAUUAAUAGUCUAGCAAUUCCUACUACAUUUCUUGUUGGAUUCCCAGUGUAUCCAAAGAAAUUUGAUGCAAGCUUUACGAGCAAAGAAGAGUGCGAUUUUGUGUGGUCUAUUUCCACUGAAGACACAAAAAACAUCCCUCUCAGUGCUCAUUUAAACAAGCUGGAAAGGGAUUCAUAUAUUUACCAGCGCCAUCAGACAUCGGACACUAUGUGAAGUUGGAUUGUACACCCAAGGCGGGUGAUCGAGUUGGCCCCUCCGUUUCGCUUGUCUCACAAAAGCGUGUAGAAGCUGGACCAGGGACAUGUCCUUUUGAGCUGAGGCACAAAUUUACAUCCGAAAUUUUACCAUGUAGCAGGUAUGUCAAUUUUGAAACCAAUAUUUCCUACAUUAUCCUUAAGAAAUUUUCAACCGAUCACUCACUACUGACGCACUUACUACUGAUGUAAUGCUGAUCUGCCAAAUUUUCUUUCUUCUUUUUUUAUCAUUAGCUUUUAUUUUCCUGGCAAUACAUUAUCCUAAGAUGAUUCCAAGAAAUCUAGAGUUCUGCUUUGAUGAAAUGGAUCAGACAGCAUUGUAACAUAUUUUUGGGGGGAAUUUUUAAACUGGUAAUAUUUGAAACAUUUUCUUGAAGGGAAAGAAAAAUCUAGCAAAUUUCACAUACCUAGGGAGUCAAAACAGUUGAUUGUUUCUCCUAUCAAAAUAAAUUGACAGAAAGUUAGUUACAUGACAUAAUGAGACAAGGAAGAAGGACAAAGCGUAGAAUGUAUUAAUUCCUUUGUCUUUGCUUUCAGUUUUCGAGUAGUAUCUUACAAUAUCCUUGCAGAUUUGUAUGCAAAAUCAGAUGUGGCUCAGAACUCUCUAUUCCUUAUUGUCCAAAAUAUGCUCUGGAGAUAGAUUACCGCAAAUUACUGAUUGUCAAGACUAGUUGGUAAGAUUUUUCAGAUCAUUUUAUCCAGAAGCAUUAACCAUGCAAUAGUUGACGUUAUGUCACUGGCGCUAUGUCAAAAACUCGAACAGUUUUGAAAAUAUUAUAGUAUGAAAGAUUAAAAAAAUCUAUUUUAAAAUAAGAUAGAGCAUUCAAUAUCUUUGAAAAAUCAUUUUCAAUGGAAGAUAAUAAAAUAGUAGAAUUUUGUAUUGUUAAACAAGAUGUAAGAAAAGUAUUUUUCAAAGUAUUUAAGGGAUCCUGAGUAUUAGUAUUAGUAUCAGGAUCCUUGGUCUCAAAUUUUUCCUUCCUUUAACUUUUAGAGAGCGUAAGAAAUGCUUUAAGAAAAAUGAUGGAGCUUUAACCCGCUUUUUCAACCUAUAAUAUUCCCCACAUCCAUAUUUAAUUUUUACCAUAUUGUAGACAAGCUUUCUGUUUCAAAAACUAUUUUUGGCAAUAUCUAUUCUUCAUUUGUCCAUUCCAAUACACAAUUAAUCAUUAAAAUUCAAGAGUGCUACCCGUUGUCUACAGACCGUCUCCAUGGCAACCAUUUGUUCUGGGUCAGUAUUCUUCCAGCAACCAUCUAUUGGAUUGUGAUGAAUCAAGUUGCCAUGGCAAAAUUAUUCUUUUUUGUCUAUGUAAUAUUGAGGAAAAUCUCUCUCCUGACUCGAAAAAUAAUAAGAAUCCUGUCUCUUAGCCAGCAAUUUAGAGACAUAUUUGUCCAAAAAUUCUGCCAAAAAGAAAAAAAUGAAACCCUUUUUCUUUUUUAUGAAGUGUCCAAGUGUCCUAAAAUGAAACUUUUUAACCAUCUUCUCUAUAGAAACAGUGUAAAAAUGAACCACUAGACAUG